CCGUUCUUGGUGUUGCAAUAUUGGCUUCAGUAAGACAACAUGUCUAUCCCCUAUCAAGCAAUAUAUAACCCAGAGUUUUAUAUUAAGUCAUUUCAAUGUGCAAUCCACCAAACAUGACGAUACACUUAUAUUUUCCUUACAAAUCAGGCCAUUCCCACUGAAUUUGCUUACUAGGCAUUUCCAAAAGUGGCUGAUCUGCAGU
rnacentral:lncRNA from 1 species